rnacentral:rRNA from 1 species
CUACGGGUGGCAGCAGUGAGGAAUAUUGGUCAAUGGGCGCGAGCCUGAACCAGCCAUCCCGCGUGCAGGAUGACGGCCCUAUGGGUUGUAAACUGCUUUUCUAUGCCAAGAAACCUGAUUACGUGUAAUCAGUUGCCGGUAGCAUAGGAAUAAGCAUCGGCUAACUCCGUGGCCAGCAGCCGCGGUAAUACGGAGGAUGCAAGCGUUAUCCGGGUUCAUUGGGUUUAAAGGGUGCGCAGGUGGGCUUGUAAGUCAGUGGUGAAAUGCUGCCGCUUAACGGUAGAACUGCCAUUGAUACUGGAGUCUUGAGUAUGGUUGAGGUAGGCGGAAUGUGUUGUGUAGCGGUGAAAUGCAUAGAUAUGACACAGAACGCCAAUUGCGAAGGCAGCUUACUAAGCCAUUACUGACGCUGAGGCACGAAAGCGUGGGGAGCGAACAGGAUUAGAUACCCGGGUAGUC